rnacentral:lncRNA from 1 species
CUGUGUACACUCCCUUUCCAGUUUCUCCUCUCAGGAUGCUUAGAAAAACAGGGACAUACUCCAUUCACUUCCAAAGUUCUUCAGGUCAGCACCUUAUUCCCCCAAACAUUUAUUAAAGAAUAAGUGAGACAUGAUGUGAAGUGGAAAACAGAGAGCCUCAGGAGCCUGGUGAUAAUGGAGCACAUGAGCCAUCAGCUUGUCUCUCCUGCUUUCUUCAGCAUCCUGUCUUUUGGGCUGUUACAAUCUGAUUCUAAACUUUAUGAUUUUGGCCUUUUUUGAGGAAUAAUAAAGCCCGGCCUUUGAGAACUG